rnacentral:SRP_RNA from 1 species
CCAGGAGCGGAAGGAAGCAGCUGCAAAGCAUU